GUGAAUCCAUGUUCCCUGAGAAGCCUAAGCACUGAGUCUGGUCUUUCACGGGUUUGAAAACGUAUAUUCCUAUUCUUAGAGACAGAUUGAGCAGAUUUUAGGGUCAAUCCACAUGAAUUAAUGAGAUAUGAGACUAUAAAUGAAUGCCCAUUCAAAUUAGAAGAUGUGGAAGACGAAAAGGAUCUGAUUACGAAUAUUGAGUGAGAAGGAAGAAUACCCAGUUGGGCAUUUGAGA
rnacentral:misc_RNA from 1 species